rnacentral:rRNA from 1 species
UACGAAGGGGGCUAGCGUUACUCGGAUUGACUGGGCGUAAAGGGCGCGUAGGCGGUUUGUACAGUCAGACGUGAAAUUCCUGGGCUCAACCUGGGGGCUGCGUUUGAUACGUAUGGACUUGAGUUCGGAAGAGGGUCGUGGAAUUCCCAGUGUAGAGGUGAAAUUCGUAGAUAUUGGGAAGAACACCGGUGGCGAAGGCGGCUAUCUGGCUCACAACUGACGAUCAGGCACGAAAGCGUGGGGAGCAAACAGG